rnacentral:rRNA from 1 species
AUUGGACGCUGGCGGCAGGCUUAACACAUGCAAGUCGAGCGGGGUGAUGGUGCUUGCACUAUCACUUAGCGGCGGACGGGUGAGUAAUGCUUAGGAAUCUGCCUAUUAGUGGGGGACAACAUCUCGAAAGGGAUGCUAAUACCGCAUACGUCCUACGGGAGAAAGCAGGGGAUCACUUGUGACCUUGCGCUAAUAGAUGAGCCUAAGUCGGAUUAGCUAGUUGGUGGGGUAAAGGCCUACCAAGGCGACGAUCUGUAGCGGGUCUGAGAGGAUGCUCCGCCACACUGGGACUGAGACACGGUCCAGACUCCUACGGGAGGCAGCAGUGGGGAAUAUUGGACAAUGGGGGGAACCCUGAUCCAGCCAUGCCGCGUGUGUGAAGAAGGCCUUAUGGUUGUAAAGCACUUUAAGCGAGGAGGAGGCUCUCUUGGUUAAUACCCAAGAUGAGUGGACGUUACUCGCAGAAUAAGCACCGGCUAACUCUGUGCCAGCCGCCGCCGUAA